rnacentral:rRNA from 1 species
UACGUAGGGUGCAAGCGUUAAUCGGAAUUACUGGGCGUAAAGCGUGCGCAGGCGGUUCGCUAAGACAGAUGUGAAAUCCCCGGGCUUAACCUGGGGAACUGCGCCGGAAACCGACAGACUCGAGUACCGGAGAGGAGGGUGGAAUUCCUGGUGUAGCGGUGAAAUGCGUAGAUAUCAGGAGGAACACCGGUGGCGAAGGCGGCCCUCUGGACGGAUACUGACGCUGAGGCGCGAAAGCGUGGGGAGCAAACAGG